UACGUAGGGACCAAGCGUUGUUCGGAUUUACUGGGCGUAAAGGGCGCGUAGGCGGCAUGACAAGUCACUUGUGAAAUCUCCGGGCUUAACUCGGAACGGUCAAGUGAUACUGUCGCGCUAGAGUGCGGAAGGGGCAAUCAGAAUUCUUGGUGUAGCGGUGAAAUGCGUAGAUAUCAAGAGGAAUACCUGAGGUGAAGACGGGUUGCUAGGCCGACACUGACGCUGAAGCGCGAAAGCCAGGGAAGCAAACGGG
rnacentral:rRNA from 1 species